rnacentral:rRNA from 1 species
UACGUAGGGGGCAAGCGUUGUCCGGAUUUAUUGGGCGUAAAGAGCGUGUAGGCGGCCAGACAGGUCAGCUGUGAAAACUCGAGGCUCAACCUCGAGACGUCGGUUGAAACCGUCUGGCUAGAGUCCGGAAGAGGAGAGUGGAAUUCCCGGUGUAGCGGUGAAUGCGCAGAUAUCGGGAAGAACACCCGUGGCGAAGGCGGCUCUCUGGGACGGUACUGACGCUGAGACGCGAAAGCGUGGGGAGCGAACAGG